rnacentral:rRNA from 1 species
UACGAAGGGUGCAAACGUUGCUCGGAAUCAUUGGGCGUAAAGCGCACGUAGGCGGCUUUGCAAGUCGGAUGUGAAAUCCCUCGGCUCAACCAAGGAAGUGCAUCCGAAACUGCAGAGCUUGAGUACUUAAGAGGAUCGCGGAAUUCCCGGUGUAGAGGUGAAAUUCGUAGAUAUCGGGAGGAACACCAGUGGCGAAGGCGGCGAUCUGGGAAGAUACUGACGCUGAGGUGCGAAAGCGUGGGGAGCAACAGG